rnacentral:tRNA from 1 species
GCGCCCAUAGCUCAGCUGGAUAGAGCGCUCCCCUCCGGAGGGAGAGGUCGGGAGUUCGAAUCUUCUUGGGCGCACCA